GCAUUUUCGAGCCAAAAGUGUGAAGCGCCUACGCGGGGAAAUCAGUCCACUGGACUGAUUUCUGAUCCCGCUUCGAUGCGUAGGACAAUGCGACCAGGGAAAGUGCGCAUUUCCGCGCCGAACGCCAGAACGUUCUAUUGCCUUGACAGCCGGAUGCGUCAGCUUUCGUUUGCAGCUUGUUGAGGCGAUAGAAUCUUCAUCACGGCGGCA
rnacentral:misc_RNA from 1 species